UACAGAGGGUGCAAGCGUUGCUCGGAAUUAUUGGGCGUAAAGGGCAGGUAGGUGGUCUGAUUAGUCUGGGGUGAAAGCCUUGAGCUUAACUCAAGAAGUGCCUCAGAAACCGUCAGACUAGAGUGCUGGAGAGGGUCGUGGAAUUCCCGGUGUAGCGGUGAAAUGCGUAGAGAUCGGGAGGAACAUCAGCGGCGAAGGCGGCGACCUGGACAGAUACUGACACUCAACUGCGAAAGCGUGGGUAGCAAACAGGAUUAGAUACCCUGGUAGUCCACGCUGUAAACGAUGGGUACUAGAUUUGGUUGGUAUUGACCCCGACCGAAUCGGAGCUAACGCGAUAAGUACCCCGCCUGGGAAGUACGGUCGCAAGACUAAA
rnacentral:rRNA from 1 species